GACAGAGGAUGCAAGCGUUAUCCGGAAUGAUUGGGCGUAAAGGGUGCGUAGGUGGCGCUGUAAGUCAGGUGUGAAAUCUCGGGGCUCAACCCCGAAACUGCACUUGAUACUGCGGUGCUUGAGUACUGGAGAGGAGAUUGGAAUUUACGGUGUAGCAGUGAAAUGCGUAGAUAUCGUAAGGAAGACCAGUGGCGAAGGCGAAUCUCUGGACAGUUACUGACACUGAGGCACGAAGGCUAGGGGAGCAAACAGG
rnacentral:rRNA from 1 species